CCCACUUGAACCGGUUCCUCCGUCCCUUUUUGGUCGGCAGCUCAUCGCCUGUGGGCUCUUCAAUCAGUCCCCCCUGGCCCGCGUGGGUGAAUUCUGUCGGGACAGAGAGUGCGGGACACUUUAAGACCUAAGUAAUGGUCGUGCUUCCCAUGGGACCUUCCUGAAACCCCGGCUUCCUGAGAUAGAAGGGCUUACUCUCCCCUCCACGAUCUGCUCACCAUUUUACUCAGCACUGAGCCCAGCACACACUGCUCCGAGACCCUCUGCCUCCCUGGCUCCUCUGCUCUCCCAGCUCCUCCAGCCCUCUCCCUCCUCAUCCUCCCCGUGGUCCCUCUCCCUGUCGGCCCCCAGGGAGCCCUUUGACCUCUGCUCAGCUGCUCUGGACCAAGCCCUACUCCAGCCUCUACUUCCCCCACCGUGGGGGCUGCUGAUCAAGAGGUGCCUACCCUAGCCAGAAUGGGUGGCGCGAAGUCUUCCCCAUCGUCAUCCGUGUCCUCCUCCGAGCCACGCGUCUCCCCCAGGCCAUUGGGCAGCUCGGCCAGGUCUCCUCGACUCCCGCCGCAGGAC